rnacentral:misc_RNA from 1 species
GAUGAAGAACGCAGCGAAAUGCGAUAAGUAAUGUGAAUUGCAGAAUUCAGUGAAUCAUCGAAUCUUUGAACGCACCUUGCACCCUUUGGCAUUCUGAAGGGUAUGCUCGUUUGAGUGUCAUUGUACUCUCACACUCCCGAUCUUUGCAUUGGGAGCAGUGGACUUGGGUUUGCUGCUUCACCGUCGCUUACCUCAAAUAGGUUAGUGCAACUCUUGGUUGGACAUAGUACGGCGUGAUAAGUGUUCUUCGCCGGUGCCUCGCAAAGAGGGUGGCCGAUCGGGAUGUUGUGCUCCAAACCGUCUUCGGACAAUCUCUGACGACUUGACCGCAGAUCGAGUAAGACUACCCGCUGAACUUAAGCAUAUCAAUAAGCGGAGGA